AAUUUUUUAGUCAGAAAUGAUUUC
rnacentral:tRNA from 1 species